AACGUGAUAAUUCUAAACCAAACAGGAAGAUCUUGAUCAUCGGUAAUUGUGGAAAUUUUGACUGAAAAAUAAAAAGUUACGAGUCAUCAUACCCCUGGGUAGGGGUGGGCAAAAUCGGGUUCGGAUCGGGUUCGGAUCAACCUGAUCGGAUUUCGGGUUGAUCGGGUUGGAGAGAAACUCAUCCGAAUUCAACCCGAAUUUUAGAUCGGAUCGGAUCUGAUCGGGUUAUAUUCGGGUCGGGUCGGAUCGGAUCUAAAAUUCGGAUCAAUUUCGGGUCAAUUCGGGUUAAGGAUAAAAGAGUCAUUUGUGUUAAUUUUGGGUUGUUUAAUAAUUAUUUAAUAAUUACAAGAUCACUUUUAUGCAAUUAGUUAGGGAUGGCAAAAAUCCCCACGGGGAUGGGUACCCUCGGGGAUUUUCCCCAUUCGGGGAGGGUACGUGGAUAAUUUUAUACCCAAUUUUUUUUUCGGGGAGGGGACGGGGAAAAUUUUUUACCCAACUUUUUAUUCGGGGAGGGGACGGGGAUGAGGUGGAAUCCCCAUCCCCUACCCAUUUCCCCAUUUUAAUUUUUAAUUUUAUUUUUAUUUUUAAAAUUACUAAUAAAUAAAUAACAAAAUUAUAAAUAUUGUUAAAAAUAAUAAAUAUCAAAAUAGUUGUAUGUUGGGAAAGUGGUCACCCUUUGCCGGGAAUUAGUUGAAGAGUAUUAAUUGAAGUUUUCACCAACUGUUUAUUGCUUUGAUUAUACUGGUAGUAGUUCUUCUACUAGAUCUACAGGGGAUUCUUAUAAGAAAGCAACCAAAUGGAUGACAGGUUUUAAUGAUUAUGUAAACAAUGGAGAUUGUGCAGUUGUUGCAGAUGAAUUAGAUUCAUAUUUGGAUGAGAAAGUUAUAUCUCGGAUGGAAGAUUUUAAUAUUUUGAGUUGGUGGAAGACAAAUGCUAAUAGGUAUCCUACAUUAGCUCGAAUUGCUAGAGAUAUUUUGGCAAUUCCAAUUACAACAGUUGCUUCUGAAUCAGCUUUUAACACUAGUGGUAGAGGUGUGAGCUCAUACCAUAACAAACUUCAUCCAAGCACAUUGGAGGCCUUAAUGCUGCUGUACGGCCAAGGCGGAUGUACGGUACAGCAGAAAAUUUUUCUAAUAAAAUAGAUAAUUUUUUUACACCAUAAUCUCAUAGUAUUUUUCUAAUAAUUAAUUUAUACAUAAUUUCAUAAUAUUUUCCGAACAAUACAAAACAUUUUCUAAACCAACAGGUUUCGUCGAUGGCUCAUGGCUUCACGGGUUUUGUCGAUGGCUACCGGAAAAGCAGAUCCGAUCGAAGUGAAGUGCAGCAACCGUUGAUGCAGCAGCAAGCAGAUCCUGUCGUCAGUGCAGCAGAUCUGGUCGAGUGGUGUGCUGCAUGUGGCCCGCUGUUGUGCUAACCAUCUGUAGUUUUGUUGUUGCGAGAAAGAAGAGAACGAAGACAGUGAAGAGAAAAAAGAGGGUUGUUUGUGUGAGUUGUGAGAAAGAAGAGAAAGAACACGGAGAGUGAGAAAGAAGAGAGUGAAGAGAAAGAUUUAGGUUUUUUUUAGGUUGUUUGUGUGUGGCGUGUGUGUUUAGAUUUAGGUUUUUUUUUUUUAAAGCAACCCGAUCGGGUUUUCGGAUCGGAUCGAAUUUGACCCGAUCCGAUCACAACCCGAUCGGGUUUCACCAUCUUCAUCCGAUCGGGUUUCCUUUAUAACCCGAUCCGAUCCGAACCCGAAAUUUUUCGGGUCGGGUCGGAUCGGAUCGGGUCGGGUCGGGUAUUUUGCCCACCCCUACCCCUGGGGAUGUGGAAAGAAUUGAAAAGUCCCACAACAUCUCCACUUUUGGAAGAACUAUUUUUAAUGGUCUUGAUUUUGACCAAUAUUCUUAGCAGAUGAUCUUGACCCACGUGCACGGUGCAGCACAUAGCUUCAUUAAUUCAUUAAUUCAUUAAUACUCCUAGAGCAUUUCUUAGUUCGUGUUACAACAAAAUGGCUAUUGCAUGUCAUGCGCCCUUCCACACUAAAUUUUGGCGUUUUUAACCUUUUGGGGUUAAUUAAUUUAUGUUUGCUCCGGUGUGAAUAUUUUUAUUUUAAACUAAUCAAGAAAGAGUUAAAAAAUAAAGAAAUACAAACUCUAAUGCACUAAAAGAUAAAAAUAAAAAAAAUUAAAUUAUUUAUUUUUUUAUGUAUAAAAAUUUGGAUGUCUUUAUUGACUACUACUAUACACACACACAUAUGUAUAUGUGUCUAUAUAUACACAUGUAUAUAUAUGUGUGUGUGUACGUACGUACGUAUAGUCAUUAUUUAAUGUAAACACCUUCAUUUUUUUAUGGACACACUACUAAUUCAUAAUUCAAUUCACAAUUAAAUCAUGUGCUUUAAUAGAGUCAUUUUGAUUAAUUAUUAAACCGCUUUGUUUAAUAGUCCAGUUAAAAAAAAUGAGGGGUGCCUUUGUCUAGUGAUGUUGUCAAUAAAUAAAACACAUAUUUCAAUGCAUUAAAACUAUAUUUUUUUUUAUCUAUUAGUAUAUUAAAAUAUUUUUUUUUAAUUUUUUACUAACAUCUUCACUUUAAAAAAGUGAGAAUACCCUUAUUAAAGAAUGAUUAUAUAUAUAUAUAUAUAUAUAUAUAUAUAUAUUGAAAAAUUUAUUAAACCUUGCUUUUUUUUAAAAAAAAAAAGGUAAGGGGGUGGGUCAAACCCAAAUAAUUUUUAUUCUCCUCUCAUCUCCCCCAAGGCUUGAAUUCGGAUGGUUAGUUGCUAUAAACUUUGUACUGUUAUUAAGCCUUACUUAAUAGUAUAAUAUCAUUAUAAUAUUAAAUUAUAUGAUUUAAUAGGCUUUAUAGGUAUUAUAUUAUUGAAUUAUAUGAUUUAAUAAUUUUUUUAAAUUUUAAUAAAGUGUAAAAUUUUAUAUUAAAACAUCGUCAAAAAAAAAAUCUAUAUUAAAACAUAUAUAUAUAUAAAGGAGUCAAAAAAGACGAUGGGAAAAUAAAUGCAGUAUCUGUAACAGUUUAACAGUUUUUACGCAAAUAAAGAAAUCAUAAGUGGAGGCUUUUAAGGGGCGCGUGGGUGACCGAAUGGUUGUUGACUAUUUAUGAUAAAUAAGAAACACACCAAAAAAGGUCUGUGUCGAGACUCAAAGAUUUUCAUGGAAAGUCUAACAUGCUUCCUUUUUUUGACCGCUCGUAGCCUCAAUAUCUUUCGAAUUCACACGUGUAAUGUUAUUAAAAUUGAAUUGAAUAACGAAAAAAAAAAGAUUUCUAUGUAUACAUAUUACACGUAAUACGGAACAUAUUGUGCAAAGGAAUUCAACAUUUUCAAGCUUUGAAUACAUCAAACUCUUGGUCUUGAACCUGGAAAUUAAAAUUAAGCCUUGAAUUCAGAGCCCAUCUUUAUCUCUUUUAUCUUCCAUUCAAAAACUGUUGUGUUCAGCACGUCUUUGAAGGUUUUGUGGACUGGACUACUUGUUUUGUUCCCUGAGCAGUUGUAAUAUAAAUUAAGCAAAGGAGCAGUCAAAUUUAACAUCAUCAAUUGCAUCUUGACAUCAAAUCAAAAACACAACCAUAAAACAAAUUAAGAAAAAUUGGAAUAAGCAGGUCUCCGGUCCUCUAACACAGUACUACAGGUAAUUUAAUAGAAGAGAUUUUUUUUUUGUUCUUUUCUUUUUUGAUAAUUGAGGGUCGUGUUCAUGUUCUUUUAAUUUGCUUCUCUUUAAUUUAAUCUGGGUUCCUCCUAUUAAUUUAAAAAUUGCAGAUAGAUAUAUCUAUGGGCUUUUCGCUUUCAUUGCUCUUAUCGGCCUGGGAAGAGAUUCUGAAACACAGGAUUUUUAGUUUGGCAUACAACAUCAGUUUUGAUACCAAAGAUGGUGAGGUCACCGUAAGGGUAAAUAGCUUCAAGAAAACAGAUGGCUCCUCAAAUGAUCAUUAUCAUGAUGAUGAUGAAACCAUCAAAAGUACUAAAAGAACAAGAAGCUUAAAGAAUUACAAACCAGAAAAUGUAAAAUUGCUAGAAAAUAAUUUUUCAUUCAAGAAUUAUGUAGCUGUUGAAGAUAACAACAAAGAGAUUAUGAUGGGUUCAAAUACCUUGAAGCAUGUGCCAAUGCCUUCCCUUUCUCUUCCCGAACCGGCAAUCAUGUUCUCACCGAGACCGGUGUGCGAGCUUAAUGCUGCUGCGGUUAAGCUUCAAAAGGUUUAUAAGAGUUACCGAACUCGAAGAAACCUUGCAGAUUGUGCUGUUGUUGUUGAGGAGCUCUGGUUAGUACUAGCUACCUACUCUCUUUUUUAUUAAUUAACUUUUCUUUUAGGAAUAUUCAUUUAAUUUAAUUUAAUUUAAUUUGUUACUUCCAUGAAUUAAUUGUUAUUACAAUACACACACACAUAUAUAGGUGGAAGGCAUUGGAUUUUGCUGCCCUGAAGCGAAGUUCAGUAUCAUUCUUCAAUAUUGAGAAACCGGAAACCGCAGUGUCACGGUGGGCCAGGGCUAGGACCAGAGCAGCCAAGGUCGGAAAGGGUUUAAGUAAAGAUGAUAAAGCUCAAAAACUCGCUUUACAACAUUGGCUCGAGGCUGUAAGUAUAUAACUCAUGUAUUUCAAUACAGUGUCUUUUAUAUUUUAGUCUAUGGCAUUUCUUUAUUUCUUUUUUUUUUAAAAGAAAAAAUACAAAAAAAAUAUUUUAUCAUGAUACACAUUUUAUUAGAAUGAGGGAGCACUGAUUGAUCGAUCUUAUAUAAUUUUCUGAGCAGAUUGAUCCUCGACACCGUUAUGGGCAUAAUCUACAUAUGUAUUAUGAUAUCUGGUUUGAUAGUGAGAGCACGCAACCCUUCUUUUACUGGUUGGAUGUUGGAGAUGGAAAAGAAGUGAAUCUUGAGAAAUGCCCUAGGGCUGUUCUUCAGCGUCAAUGCAUUACAUAUCUUGGACCAGUAAGUUUAAGUUAUGUGAUAAUAUAAUUUGAAGAUAAAUUUUUUUUUUUCCUUUUAAUUAUUAUUCGCAACUUGCACGAAUUCAUUAUGGAUGUUGUCUAUUAAUGGGAACGCAGCAAGAAAGACAAGUAUUUGAAGUGGUGGUUGAAAAUGGGAAGCUUUUAUAUCGGCAAAGUGGAAUUCCUGUGGAAACAACUGAGGGUUCCAAAUGGAUAUUUGUGCUCAGCACCACCAGGGCUUUGUAUGUUGGCCCUAAAAAGAAAGGCUCCUUUCAGCACUCCAGUUUUCUAUCCGGUGGCGCCACUACGGCUGCCGGAAGAUUAGUUGCCCAUAAUGGUAUUCUGGAGGUAUGUAUUUAUUUAUUUACUUAUAUAGAUACAUAAUAGGGGUCUUCAGGAUGUGGGCACCUAUGAAGUGCAGAUUUAAAUUUCUGAACAUAUUAAUAACGCAAAUUAACAAAUACAAAAUGCCAUUAAUAUCUUAUUGCAUUACCUUCACUUUUUCAGGCAAUAUGGCCAUAUAGUGGUCACUAUCACCCAACAGAAGAGAACUUCCGGGAAUUUAUCAGCUUCCUUGAGGAAAACCAUGUAGAUCUCACCAAUGUUAAGGUAUCUACAUUAUUUUCAUUCAUAUAUAUAAUUGUCUACUAUAUAUAUAUAUAUAUAUUCAAGAUCUUGAACUUUAGGUUCAAUACUCAAUAGUAUUGUGUGAUUACACUGUUAAAGUACAUAACUUUGAUAUAUUUUUACAAAUUUAAAAUUUUAGAUCGGGACAAUUUUAUGUGUGUGUUUGUGUUCUGCUGUACGGCCAAGGCGGAUAUUGAAUAGGAUUUAAAUCUAGCUGUUCCUGUGACAAAACAACUGAUGUUAGCUUCAUUGUUUUACAUGACAGAGGUACGCCAUCGAUGACGACAAUCCUUCAUUUGUUGCACCACCCAUUGAGGAAUCAAAAUCAAAGCCCGCGGUGGGCCCUGCUUUAGCUAAACAAUCAAAAGAUACAAUCCCAACUGUUAAUCAAGCGGAAAAUGAUAACAUCAAGGAGGUUAACAAUCCGAAGGUGUUUGACUUUGACCUGGCUAAACGGUUGUCAUGCAAGUGGACUACGGGUACUGGUCCACGAAUCGGGUGUGUGCGGGACUAUCCUACGAACUUACAGUCCAAGGCAUUGGAACAAGUUAACCUAUCACCUCGUCCUGUGACUGGGCCAUUGGUCAGCUACGGCCCAAUUCCUUCGCCGCGGCCUAGCCCAAGGGUCCGUCUCUCUCCAAGGCUUGCAUAUAUGGGCCUCCCAAGCCCAAGGACUCCAAUUCCUGCAGCUAACUAAACCACCAAUUCACUAAAAGGGGUGAAUGGUUUCAACUUUAUACCAGGAUGGGGAGGCUAACUUGACUUUUUUCUUCCAUUUUUUUAAAUUUAAUUUAUUGUUUCAUUUUUUUUUUUCAAAUUUUGGUUUCACUAAGCCAAAUUAAUAUAUAUUUUUCACCGAUUUGUAUAUUGGGUUUUGCUGAUUCUUUUGCGUAUACCAAAAUACGAGGAAAUAAUCAUCCCGCAAUGGUCAUGUUUCUAAUUUAUAUUAUUCUAUUAUAUUCUAAUUUUCUGUUCUUCCCAAACCAUGAAUCUAAUACUGUAUUUAAGGUAGGGGUGGGCAUGGGUUGGUUUGGGUUGGAUUUUAAGUCAACCCAAACCAAACCAUAAAAAUUUGGAUCCAAUCCAAACCAACCCAAAUAUUUUUAACCCAAACCAAACCAAACAAUUUGGGUUUGGUUUGGGUUUGGUUUGAAUUUUAUUAUCAAAAUAAUUUUUAUUUUAAUAAAAUUUAAUUAUAUCAAAAUUAUAAUAAUUAUUAAUUGUUAUUAAUUAUUAAAUUGAUAUUAAAAUAUAAAAAAAUAUAGUGGAUAAAAAUUAUAAAUUUUACAAUAACUUAAUCCUUAAAUUAAAGAAUACUAGAAAAUCAAAAUAAAGUUUAAUCACAAAAAUUAUUAUUUCUCAAUAAAUAAGAACGUACACUUUAAUAAUAAACUUUCACAAACAUGACAUUAACAAUCUAAUAAUAAAUUUUGCCACUUGUUAUUUAUUUAAUUAUGCAAUAUUUAUUUUUAUUUAUCGUUUUAAAUAAGAAAUAUAUGUUUUGAUAUGAACAAAAUAAAUCACAUGAAUAGAAACUAAAUAAAAAAUAAAGCAUUAAAAAUAAGAAAUAUAUGUUUUGAUAUGAACAAAAAAAUUAAUAAUAAAAUUUUUUUAUACUUAUUUAUUUUGUGGAAAUUUCUUAUAAUAAAUAUAUAAGAAAAUUAUUAGUCAAAUGAUAAAAAAAUUAUUAUAAGAAAACUUGAUUGACAAAUAAAAAUUUAUUAUAAGAUAAAUAAUAAAAUAUUUUACCUAUACUUUUUACAUUUAAUUUUAAAAUAUUACACCAUGUUUAUUAUGAGAAAAUGUUCACAAAAUAAAUAAUUACAAGAAAAAAUUUUAUUAUUAAUUUUUCUGCUCAUAUCAAAACAUAUAUUUCUUGUUUUAAUACUUAAUAUGGGCAUUACAUUCAAUUAUUGAUAAAAAAUUAGCUGCCAUCUAGCAUAUCGGACUCAGUCCAAACCGAGUUAUUAUUGAUCAUUAGUAGAGUCUCCUGCUCUUUCUAUGAUGAUCCUUCCAUCUGCUGUACCGUACAUCCGCCUUGGCCGUACAGCAGAAACAGUAUGUAAAAGUGUAUAAGAUAGGAGAUCCUUGAUUUAAUGAUUUUGUCCGACAUAUUUGGACUUAAUUGCUGAUACCGAGUAAAAACGUGAUUGCUACAGACGUGUUUAAUAAAUUUUCUAUAUAAAACCCACAUCUAACCAAUUUUAAUGAUUUACCCAACCCAAACCAUUUAAUUUGGUUUGAGUUUGGAUAAACCCAUGGGUUGUGGGUUUAUGCCCACCCCUAAUUUAAGGUUGGCAUAAAAGCGAGGCCUCCACAUGAGGGCUUAGACAAGACUUAAGAAAAAAAAUUGUAGCUAGACCCAAACUUCUAUUUUUUAAAAAAUAAAUUUAUAAAUUAAAAUCUAAAAAUAAUAGAAAAAUAAAAAGCUUAAAUCCUUUAUUUAUAAAUCAAUGAUGAUUCAAAAAACUUAAAAUUAUAAUACUAAACUCUCUUUUAAAUCUUAAUUAAUUAAUUAAAAGGGUUGAAUUAGAUAAUCCAUUUUUAAAAAAUUAAGUCUGUAUAAUUUAUUUAUAAUUUUAUUGUAAAAUAGUCAUUUUCUUUAAUUUAUUAUUGAUUACAACAACCUAUUAACUAUUAAUUCAUUACAAGUUUACAUCCAUUUAAAAAAUAAUUAAAAAUAUGUGAAAGCCUAAGCCCAACCCUUAUACGUCCCGUAACAUGGCCUGGGCCUAAACCCUUUAAUUUACUAUUCUCUAACUGUAUUACCUUUUUAAUCAACAUAAUUACAUUAUACAAACGUUUAAAAAAAAUGAGUUACUGUGGAGUAAAGAAAUCAAAUAGAAUUUUCUUUCUCAAUUGGUGGAAACCUUUUGUUUUUCCUCCUCUCCUUUAAAACUACCAACAUGGUGGGGGUUAGGCUGGACCCUACCUAUAAUAGAGAUCAAAUAAUGAAGGAAAACAUAAGGAUGGGAACAAGAAGCAAAAUCUCCAAUCACAAAGGAAAAAAUACUUAAUAGAGGCAUGCAAGCACAACAAUAAACCAAAAGGGAUAUGCAACACUAUUGCCUAAUAUGGUGGAAACCUUUAAAAUGUGCACAAUAUAAACUUUUUGAUUAAUUUAUACUCGAUACUAAGGCACUUAUGUAUUUUUUUACGUAAAGCUAUUAUUUCCUCUCUAUAUGUUGCCAGGAAGUUGAUUCAAAGGGAGCUAGUUCAAACAGUAACAAAAUUAAUAAAUUUCAUCACAAAUUUAAUUGAAAUAUUUUUUUAGUUGAAUUCAUUGCAUUUAUAAGUGUUGUUGAUGUGCUUUAAUAUCUUAAAUUAUUUAAGGAAUUGUAUUAGUAAUACUACUUUCCCUAUUUGAUCAAUUCAAAAAUGAGUGUGUGUAUGUGUAUAGAGAGAGAGUGUCAUUCUCUAGUGAAGGCAUCCUCACUUCAGUAAAAUUAGGGUUGGGCAUUGGAUCAUGUUUGGAUUUAGCUUUGAAUCCGAUCAUAUUUGAUUCGGAUCAGAUCAGAUUUAGGUCAACUCGGAUAAUCCAAUCAGAGUGUAUUGUUACUUAAAAAAAAGAAAAUAUAAAAGCAUAUAGGAAAACCUAAUUCCUAAUUUCCUAGACCUCAAAGCUCAAACUCAAACCAAUUGCAACCAUCUCCUUUGCUAAGCUUAUAUCAUUUGGAAAAAUAUCUUCUAUCUAUGCACAUCUCCCAUUCUUUUCUUAAUAAAUUGCUGAAUUGCAACUUAGGUUAUGGACAUAUUUGAUCCGCGACCAAACCAAACGAACCCAACCAUUGACAACACAAACCAGAACCUAGUUGCAGCCGCCAUGACUCCUCUAGAGUCUAGACCCACAACACCUAAUUGACAUCGACGUCCAGCUGACCAAUUGUAAGUCGCAUGCCACCGAGGUUUCUAGCGCAUGAAAACUCCAGAUGAUUUGUGUUUGAUUUUAUGCUUAAAACAUAUUUGUGUUUAAUACAAAUUUGGUUAUUUGUUCAUAGUAAUAUGGAUGUGUUUUGUUAAAUAAUAACCGAUUUUGUGUUUGUUUGAUAUUCAUAUUUGUGUUUCACAUUUGUAUUGACCAUUAGGAUUUGCAUUUGUCAAAUAAUAACUUAGUUUGAUCAAUAAUAAUUGAUAAUCUUGACCAAUACAAAUGUAUAAUUAAUCAAUUAUGAUUUUGAGGUUAUCGAAAAAGGUGGUGAAUUUACAAAGUAAUGGUAGAUUCGGGAGCAAAAUGGAGGAUUUGAACUCAAUCCAAAUCCGAACUUAUCUGAAAUAUUCAUUCGAUCUAAAUUUGAUCCUAUUUAUUUAAGAUCAGAUUGGAUUAGAUUUGAAGUUUUGAUUAAAAUUGAAUAGAUUUUUUUUUUCAAUCUGAAUUAUCCAAAAUUCGAUUGGAUUCUUUCGAAUUUAAAGUUGGCCAUCCCUAACUAAAAUAUAAAAAAACACAAAUUUUAAUAUAUUGAAAAUUGUGUAUAUUGAAAAUUUGUGCUUUUUGGUUUGUUAGUGUGUAUGUAAUCAUUCUCAGGUGCGGACGCCUGCAUUUUUUUUUAAAAUGUGGAUGGACUUUUAAACCGUAUGAUUUAAAAUAGUUAGUUAUUAAAGGAACUAUCACUACAACAAAUAUGACUUUUUAUAGCGCUAAAAAAAUAUUAUAUUAUCAUUAUUAUAGUGUUUAUUUAACGUUGUGAUUGCCCAUGCUAUCUUUUCUCUAUAGCGUUUUUAAAAACUGCUAUAGAUGUAUUGCGGUUUUUAAAUGAUGUUAUAAAACUAUAAUAGCAUUUAUUUAAUGUUAUCAAAUAUCAUGCAAUAGCAUUUUUUGGAGUGCUAUUUGUUUAUAAUGUUUUUUAAAUGCUCAAGGAAUAAUUGUAUUCAAGUAAUUUAUAACAUUUAUAUAAAUGUUAUAAUUUAGCUGAAGAGUCUAUAACAUUAGUUGAAACGUCAUAACAUGUUUUCAUGCUACAAACUAUUGAUAGCAUUUUAUGAAGUUUGGUAAUGCCAUAAUAAUCUUUUCUGGAAUGCUAUUGUGCUUGGUUAAUUUUGUAACUUUUAUUUACUUUAUAGCAUUUAUCAGAUAUUUAUAACAUAAUCGAAUACAAUAUGAUUUAUAAUUAAAACUGGGAUUUUUAACAAAAGGAAUAAACUACAUUUCAUUAAUUCAUGAACUACAAAUACCAUCAGGUAUAUUAAGAGUAAAAAUAUUAACAUCAUACAUAUACAAAGGCAAACUAAAGUUAAUGUCCAAAAUAAGACCUAGCAUUACCGUAAACAUCAUUCAAAACUAUGAAUGCGAAGUUUAACAAAUACCAAUAGUCACUACAACAAUGAUAUAUACCGUUAGACCCAUCAAAAUCAUCUAACCAAAACACUACGUCAAAAUAUUGCCUUCAAAUAAACCUUUAACCAUUCAUACCAAAAUUAAUCUUCCCUAACAAUAAUCACUUUUGUUGGCCAUGCAAUUGAACUUCCCAAAGCAUCUUCUAUUGUUUCCAUAUCUGCAAAUUUUUUCCACAACUCAAUAGAAGGAUUUUUCACCUCAUCUACCCACACACGAGAAGCAUUUUUUCCAAGAGCUACACAAUGCACCAUUGCAUUAGGAUCAUUUGUUACCCAACAUCCUAUUGCAACUAUUUCAUCUACUUCAAGCCAAUUCAACAACUUGCACUUUUGGCCUUUCCGAUUUGGGCUUACAUGCUGUACACAUAAGCAAAACAAAGAAAACAACAUUUCUAAUUAUAAUUAAGUUAAUAGUUACUAAACUAUUAAUUAUGACAGCAUAAAUUAUUGUAUAAGUUUAAACUUUACUUGUGGGGUAUUAUUAAAUUGAGUUGAUGUAGAUAGAUUUUGAUUUUGUUCAUCAUUUGAUGCUUCACUAUGUAUAAAAAGAAAUUAAAAAAAAGAAGUUGAUUUCACCAUUUUAUGAAAUUAAGAUUCAUAGGUAAUUAACGUAACAUUUAAUGAGGUACUUGCUAUUACCAAUUUGGUCAUUAAACUUUGUAUGAGUUUGUUUUGAUCAUCAAUGAAACCUUGCAUUUGCUUUACUGUGUCUUGUAAUGUGUCAAUUUGUUCUUGCAUUUUGCCUUCCUUCUUAGUUUGCUGAGAUAUUGCCUCUAAUUUAGAUAGCGUCACUCUUGCUCCUUGACCUCUAACAUGGCCUCCUUGCUCAGGUCCAAUAAACUUUGAAAGUAUAUAAUUUUUAACAGAUUUUGAUUGUGCUUAUGAAAAAUCUGAAUUUUUUUUAACUUCAAACAUUUCCUAAACUCAAGAAAAAGUUAUUUAUUAUAAUAUUUCCAAAAAUAAUUGCUAGCAUAUCUAAGUUGUCAUCAAUAAAUUUGACACAUACCUUCACUUCAACAACUUUUGAUAAUGUAUGUGGUGCUAGUGGAAGAAAAAUACUCUUCUUAUGCACAUCUGGAUGUAAAUCUUUCCUUAUUUUUAAUUCCUUCAAAUCCAUACGAGAAUGAAGGCCAUCCUUUGAUUUUCCCUUUAUAUUGAGCAAAGUCCCACCUAUGCUAUCACACACAUUCUUCUCUAUAUGCAUCACAUCCAAAUUAUGACGCAAUAAAAGAUGCUAAAAAAUCAAGAACAAUAAGAGUAUCAUGAGGAAUUUAUUUAGGCAUUAUUAACAUAAUUAUAGAAAAUUUAUUCAAUAGAAUCAUACCUGCCAAUAUGGUAAGUAAAAAAAUAUUGACUUUUGUUUCCACAUCGAGUGUUUUUUUAUCUUCCUUUUGUUCUUUCUUGAACUUUUUCCCUAAUCAUUUUCUAUGUCUUUUACCUCUUUUAAAAUUUGGGUUCCAGACAUUAUUCUAGAUCUUUCCUCAAGUUCUUCAUGACCAUCAAACCACGACUUUUUCGAAGGGAAUGGCUAGAAGGAAGGAAGCGUCUAUGACCCAUAUAUACAAUUUUGUUUUUACUGUAUUUUAACCUUUUUAAGCAUGUAUUAGAAUUGCAUGUAGGACGUGCCGUCUUACCUUUUAUGGCAUAUUCUGCCAAGUUGCAUAUGCAGGAAAAUCGUUAAUUGUCCACAUCAAAAUUACUUUCAAGUUCAAAACUGUCCUAAUGAAUACGUCAUAAACCUCUACACCAUUCUCCCAUAGCUGUUGUAAAUAAUCUAUUAGCACUUGUAGAUAAAUAUUUAUGUCAUUACUAGGUUGUUUAGGCCUUGGAAUCAACAAUGUCAACAUUAUAAAUUCUUUUUUCAUGCACAACCAUGGUGGGAGAUUGUAAGUCACUAACAUUACUAGCCAACAACUAUAUGUUGAACUACGAUUACCAAAAGGAUUAAACCCGUCUGCUGCUAGACCUAACUUUAGGCUUUUAGGAUCUUGGAGAACAAAGGCCAUUUUUCAUCAAUUGUCUUCCAAGCUAAGCUAUCCACUGGGUGCCGCAUGUCAUUAAACUUUGUAUGAGUUUGUUUUGAUCAUCAAUGAAACCUUGCAUUUGCUUUACUGUGUCUUGUAAUGUGUCAAUUUGUUCUUGCAUUUUGCCUUCCUUCUUAGUUUGCUGAGAUAUUGCCUCUAAUUUAGAUAGCGUCACUCUUGCUCCUUGACCUCUAACAUGGCCUCCUUGCUCAGGUCCAAUAAACUUUGAAACCAUUUUUGGUGAUUCAAACAUCCUUCUAAACCUUGGUAUUAUGGGAAAAUAAGUCAACAGUUUUGCUGGACUUCCUUUAUGAAUCUUUUUAGUUCGACCAUCUACCUUCCAUCUAGAAGAUCUACAUUUAGGACAUGUUUUACUUUUCUCUAAGUCAUUUCUAAACAACCAACAAUUAUUAACACAACCAACAAUUAUUAACACAAGCAUGUAUCCUCAUACAAUCUAGUUGAAAUGGUGUCAAUAAAAUUUCAAUUAAAUGAGUAGAGUUCAGAAUAGUUUUUAAUUCGGGUAACAUAUCACACAAAAUCUCCAAGAGGUUAUCAAAACUCUUAUUUGAGUAUCUGUACAUAGUCUUGUGCUUAUAUAAGACAACUACUGCAUAUAACUUAGUGUACUUUGAGCAACCUGGGUACAAUGGGGUUUCAGCAUCUUCUACAAAAUUCAUUAGGAACUUAUCUUGCUGCUCAUCAACAUUUUCAUGAAUACCUCUAUAAUGGUCAUCUACAUCUCUAGACAUGUUAUGUGUAUUAGUCAUUUCCACAUCAGUACCUUUUAUUCCCAAUUGUUCCCCAUGCCACAUCAAAGUAGUAUAAGACAUAUCCAUCUCAUCUUUCAACAAAUGCAAUUCAGUUGUUUCACUAUUUUGAUGACAUAGGUUUUGACAUUUUUUAUAUAGACAUCUCACUAAACCUUGGUUUUCUACAUUGGGAAAUUAUGCACCGACCACAUUUUUUUUACCGUUUUUCAAAAAUACACAAAUAUUUAUUUUUGUAGUGCUCUACCUGCAGUUAACAUUGUUUUCAUUGAUUCACUCGUUAAAACACUGUUAGAACUUUGCUGAUAUCGUAAGGGUAAAAUUGUCAUUUCACAACGACACAGUGGUGAAUAAGUGCAAAACAAUAUACCUUCAAGUAGAGUUCAGUAAAAAAAAUAAAUUAAGAAUUGUGUAUUUUUGAAAAAAUUCAAAAAAGGUGGUCGGUAGAUAAUUUAUUUUUAUAUUUGAGGGUAAAAAAGUCAUUUUACACAACAUUCCGUUAGUUUUCUUAACGCUCUCCAAACGGAAGUGGACGAGUGAAAAGAAAUGUAAUUUUAAGUGGAUUCUAGCAAAAAAAAAAAAAGAAUUGUGUAUUUUUUAAAAUGUUGAAAAAAACGGGUGGACGAUGGAUAAUUUCCCUUCUAUACAUUUAAUGUAGCAAUUUCCCCAAACGUUUUUACUCCCUCACGAUAUUCUUUUGUAUUUCUACAAAUAAAUGUAAAAUAUCAAUUAAAAUUAAUAACAUUAUAAGAAAAUAGUAAAUAUAUAAUUGUUAUUUGGCGAGUUAAAAAACCUUUUAAGUUGAACCCAAGUUUUGUCCAUCAUCUUGAAGUCUCACUUGACCUGAGACCAAAAAGCCAUGAAAUAUAUCCAAAAGAAAGGAUAUUUUUAUUAUUUUUACACUUGAAGGAAAAGAAAAUGGAAGUAUAGUAGAUAAUAUAUAACUCAUAACACAAAAAGAAACAAGAAAAAGUUAAUAAUUAAGAGUAAUGCUUCUUCAAUUCUUUCCAAUUCUUGAUAUUUUAUAUAAUUUUACUCCCAAACUCUUAAUUAUUUCACUGUACAAUAACAUAAAUAAAUAAACUAAAUAUAGAAUUAAGAAUUAAAUUUGUAAACAAUGUGCAUUCAAGUAUAAAAGAAAAGGAAAAUAUCAAAAUCAAAGCAGAUUAGAGAUCUCCUAAUACACAAUUACAUUUGCUAGGUAAUUUCAAUUUUUCAAAGCUAUCAAUAGAGGAACAACAACUAGCUAUAACAAUAGCAAAUUCAAUUAUUCAAUAGGUGCUUGUUACUAAUAGCGAAUUCAAUUGAAAUUAAAAGACUAAUAGAAAAAGAUAAUAUUAAUUAAUCAUCAUCAUCAAUUUCUUCAAGAUUCUUUUAAAUGUCAACCUUAACUACAUCCAAACGAGAUGGGUAUUCAUUUUCGUCAUUCGGAAUUUGAUAUCCUUCAUCGUCCCAUCCUAAGUACUCUUCCUCAUAAACACAAAUACAUACCAGAUUUCUAAUUCUUUGUCUUUGUAAAUGGGAACAAAUUCAGAGUUGUCUACAUCCUUCAAGGCCUCACCUGCCAGCAUAUAUCACAAACAAUUACUUACAUAAUUUUUGUUGUCUAUGUUUUUGACUUGUGUAUUAAUUAAUCUUGUUUAUGUCAUCUCAAUUGUUCAUUAAUUAAUUAUCAAUCUUGAUAACCAAUUUUAUGACAAGCUAGAGCAUCCAUACAUAUAGUUAUCCAAUCAUCUAUUCAAUUUUAAUUAAUUAAUAUCCUUUUCAAAGAAAAUUCCAUAUAGCUAAAUCAAUUUUAAACUUCUUUCCGUAUUUGUAUUCCUUUAUGAACUAACACCAAAAAAGCUAUUAUUUGUACUGUAACGCAUGCAUAUUAAAGAAUUAUUAUUCCUUCACCUUUUAAAGCACGUAACAAGUUUAAAACUUUGUACAUACCUGACAAAUUGAUUUGAGAAGAUGAACUUUAAUUCAUCUACUUUUGACCGGUUAGAAAAAUGGGGAAAGGGAAAGUUUAGAGAUGUGGAGAGGAAAAAGGCUAUUUUUAGAAACCUCCCCUGAGGUUUGAUAUAAUUUCACUUAGAUGGUGAGAUUGAUUGUAUUAUCACUUACCUCCCCUGCCGUUAGUAUACAUAUAUGUAUAACGUUAGUAUUUGAGGGAAAAAAUGUAAAAGACAAGUUGAAAUUCUAAAACAAUCAAAUAACAAUAAAAAAUGGUUUAAAAUCUAUUGGAUAAUUGUAUUAUCCGAUUACACACAAUAUCCAUUGUGUAAAAGAGUAUAUUUCUCUUUCCCCACCACAAAAAAGCAAUAGAGAUUUAUUUCUCUCACAAUUUUCACUCCACUCCCCUACUCUCAUUUGCUGGAACAAAAGUAAAUAAACAUCAAGAGCAUAUAUAACACAUGAAGAAGAAAAAUAUAGGUAGUCGGAGAAGGCCACCGACUGAUGAAGAUUGACGGCAGCCGGGAUAUGCCACUAGUAUUGGAGUUUGUAAGAGGGUAGUUACUUUAUUAAAGUCUAAAAUUUUUAAAUACCUUUGAUUUUUUUGUUUUUUGAGAUUUUAUAAGUGGUUGUUGGUUGUAUUUGAUUUAUCUUGUUCAUGGGUUAAUGGUGGAAAAAUUGAUUAAAAAGAGAAUGGGUUCAGCUAUAUGUGGUCAUGAGUUAAAAAAAUUAUUAUUGGUUAUUUUAUGUUUAUGGUUUACACCAUACAUGGUGUAAUGAGGCAUAUAAAGCCAAUAAUUUGCUAUUCUUAUGCAAAUGGGUAUGUAAAAUAGAAGUAGUCUUAACUGUAAUUUUUAAUUUUCUGGGCAAAGUUUGCUAAAGUUGAUCUGUUUAUGAAUUUGUAGUGUUUUUAUGCGCCUAUCGCACAAACAUAGUUCCCGCGAUUUUGAGUGACAAUUUUUGUGUUUUUGGGCGACAAUGAUGUCGCCUGAAUUUAGUUUCUGUGAUUUUGGGUGACAGAAUCCUGUCGCACGAGCGACAACCCUUGUCGCCCAAAUACACUAUUUUUGUGUUUUGGGUAGCGACAUGCUCUUGUCGCACGCACACACAUUUUGUGUUUUUGGGCAACGUGCGACUGGAUUCUAUCACACGAAUGUAGUUUUUGUUUUUUUAGGCGACAAACAUAUCACACGAAAAACACAGUUUGUACUUAAUAUUAAUUCAAAAUAAAAAUAGUAUACACACACACACACACAUAUACGUAAUUAAAACAUAUAUAUACAUUAACAUUAUCACAUUAUUAUUAAUACCUUUAUUAAAAUGUAUUACUAUUAUCAUUAGUGUAGUUGUUAUUAUAACUGUUGUUGUUGUUGUUGUUUAGUAAUGUCAUAAUUAUUAUUCUUAAUUAUUACUUUACUUCACUUAUUAACAUGUGCAUAUUCACAUAUGAUAGGGGGUGAAAGGCCAGUUGAACCGUCUGUUUUUUCACUGGAACCUGCAGUAAAAAUGGACUGGUUUGACUUAGCAGACGAGAAUGAGUUUGCUCUCCCUGAUUUGAAUAAUGAGGUUCACAUCGAGCAGGUGAUGGCAAUAAAAGAUUCUCUUGAGAGGAUGCCAGCAAAUUAAGAUGCCGUAUCAUCUUUUUGUACUCAAUCAUAGGCACAAGAUUGAAUUUUUGUAUAUUUUUAUAUAAAUGUGAUACUAACAAACUCACAUUAUAGUAACAAUGUCAUAUAUAAAGUAUAAUUCAGUUAUCAUGCCACACUGUUAGUGUAGUUGUUAUUUUUGUUAUUUUGUUCUUUUUGUCUAUAUGGGUGACUGCUGGAUGUAUAGGUUGAUGAAAUUCAAUCAAAUUGUGAUUGUCACCAACUGUAAGCUGCAGAAAUGCACAUGUGAUUGUUAUUUAAAUGAUGGUGUCAUUAUACUUAGUGUUAUUUUCUAAUUCAAUUAACUCAAACUAAUGUUUUUUUCCUCUCGCCACAAAUUAAAAUGUUUGUUAUUUUUUAUUUUUGUUAUCGGUUUGGUGAUAGACAACUUGAUGGUUUUGAAUUUACUUAAUUCUUUAAACAAGUAAAAUAUUAGUAGUUUGUUUGGUGGAGACUGUUAUAAUCUCUUGCUGAGAGAACUAAAUUAUGUUUUAGUGGUUUUUGGUUUCACCCUUCAGCCCUACAAGCAUUCUUUAAUUAGGGGAGACAUACACUUAUCGUCUGGGAGAUGCCAUUCGUCGCUCGAAAUUACAGAAACAAACAUUCUGUAAUUUGAAGAGACAAGCACUUGUCGCCCGAGAGACAUGUGUUGUCUCCCCAAAUUACAAAAUGCUUGUUUCUGUAAUAUCGAGCGACGAUUGAACGUGUCCCAGACGACAAGUGUUUGUCUCCCCAAAUUACAAAAUGUUUGUAGGCCUAGAGGUGAAAUAAGAAACUACAAAAACAUAAUUUAGUUCUUUUAGCAAUAGACUAUACCAAUCGCCAAAAUACAUUAAGAGAUUUAAAUUUGCUACAAAACCAAACCACUAAUAUUUGACACAAGCUACUAUCAACUCAUAACACAACAUGGAUUCUCACCAACCAACAUCUCAAUGCAACUCCUGUCACAAAGCAACUCCUGAUUCUCACCAAGCCACAAUCAAUCCAUAGCACAAGGUAUCAAAACAGACAUAACGGUGAUCUUAAAUAUGUCAACGGAAGUUCGGUUGACACAAGAUUCAUUAAUUAAUAUAAAAGAUUAAUAUAUCAUUUACAACAUAAUAUCCUCAUUAGAUAUGUCAACGACAAUCUUCCUCUUAAAAUAUUGUCCAUGGCAACUGUCAAAAUGAAAUUGUAGGAUGAACAUUAAGUACAUCGUAAACAUUAACAUAAACACCUCAUAAUCGCCGCUUCCGGGCUGUUGUUGACGCACAUCCUCAACCCUCACCAGUUUCCAGGGUUCCGCACUAUGCAAGUUUGGUCGGAUAUUGUAAAACCCAACAUCUUCCAACCAUCGGGGAAAGAUAACUUGAAGUGGCUUAAAUAGCUGAGCAUACGUUUUGUCCUCGCAAAACUCCUUCAUUAAGUCAUAGAUGGAGAUUUGCUUGUGCCGAAAGUCUACUCGGGCUACAACCCAAUGGUUGUCUUCCAAGUUAAUUGGAAUUAAAACCUGUAGAUGGACAUAAGAAAUCAUAUCCAAUGUUAAGAUCUCGUAAAACUUGAAAUUAUUAGUAACAAAACUAUAUUGAACCAUGUCGUGGGCGACGAGCGCAAAAUCGCGCGCGCAAUGGGCGCCUGUUGCUUGCGCGUUCAGUGCAAUUCUACAGAUUAGAUAAAUGCCCUCUUAAGCUUGUUGUCGCAAACUACAUGAUGAGUUUACAAAAUAAGACUUCACAUGAAAGCACCAUCAACACUUGAAUCUACCUAAAACGAGACAAAAAAAAACCCUAAUAGACAUUUUGUCGAGCACCUCAUGUGCCAUUUAUUUCCUACCAAGUUCAUAAACAAUUUUUAAUAUUUACACAACAAUCAAUCCUAAUACUCAUCUAUAAUCAUUUAUACACUCAUCUAUCAUCAACCAAUCUUAGGCAAACAAAAAACAAAAAGAGUUUUCAAUAUAAGCCUAGCCAAAAUUAUCGGUAACUAGGGUGAAAUAUUGCAGCAAAAAUGGCGGAAGUAGAGCCACGUGCUGCCGGAGAUCAACUUGUUGUCAAAUGCCAGUCCACCUGCUAUCACAUGUCGCUGGAAAACUCAAGACCUUGGAGAGAAGAUGAGGUAAAUGUAUGGUAGACUAUUUUUGUCCAUAAACAAAAUAGUUGGGUAAAGCACCCGUAACUUUGUUGGCACCAAAAAGUGGGGUUUUUUUUAAUUGGUUUGGAUAUUUUAGUCAUUUUACAAGUCAACUAACGGUCAACUCGUAUGUAUACUAACGGCAGGGAAGGUAAGUGAGAAUACAAUCAAUCUCGCCAUCUAAGUGAAAUUAUAUCAAACCUCAGGGGAGGUUUCUAAAAAUAGCCUGAGAAAAAAAUGAAAGGGAUUUGGGAAAAAAUAGAAAGCUUUUGAGCUUUUUCUUGGGGUGGGAAGAAUGAGCGCCAAUAUGGAAAAUUUAACGCAAUUUUAGAGAUUUUUUAUAAUAAAUACUAUAGCGCUUAAUAAAAAGUUAUAAAGUAACUUUUCAAUAUUUAUUUUAUAACUUCUUUACAAUUACGCUAUCCUAAGUAUAUAUUUAUUUGGCAUUUUUAAAAAAAUGUCAUAAUAUAAUGUUAUAAUAUGGUCGCCAAUCUAAUGAAAUUUGGCACCUAAAAAAACAUUUUUUAAAAUUUUUUUCUAUAGCAUUUUAAAAAUGUUAUAAUUUGUUUUUUUCCAAUAGCUUUUACAAAAAAUGUCAUAAAAACUAUUAAGUAACAAUUUAUUUUAUAACUUUUUUUACGAAACGCUAUGCUAACUAACAUUUUUAUAACUUUUAAAAAAUAUGUCAUAAUAGUAAUGUUAUACAUAUAAUAAAAUUUCAGUUUAAUAGCAGUUUUAUGAAAAAUGCUAUAAAAUGUAUGAUUGUGAUGACAUUCGAUAUAAAAUGCUAUAAUAAAUUAUAUUUGUUGUAGUGUAUAAAAUUGUGCAAUUUUAAAGAGUUAAAAACCAACUCUCUUAAAUCCCGCAGUUUUAAAGUGUGUCCGCAUGAAAAAUAAAUGAGGGCACCCGACUAUAUAUAUAUAUAUUGAGCCACGUGGUUCAAUGAUAUAACGCUAUUACACUAUUAAACCAUAUGGUUUAAUAGCUUUCCCAAACUUUAAUAAAGUUUAAGACUUUUACAUCCCGUUAGGACAACCAAUAGAAGUUUUAUAUAAUAGUAAGGGCUAGUUUGGUAAUAUUUUAAUUUGCAAAAUAAUUGACGUUAUUUGUACAGUAAAAAUAAGUAACUUUGAAGACAAUCGAUUAAAUGUUUGAUAAAGUUGCUUUUCAAAAGUGUUAUGAGUUUUGAAAACAAUCGUAUGUAUUUAGUAAAUCUUUUAUUAAAUUGCUAUAAGAAUACGGAUGACUGAAUGAACAUAAGAUUAAAUAAAAUUUAUUUGCACGCAUGUGCGCGCGCGCACACACACACACACACACACAUAUAUAAUAACUUUUUAUUGUGUAUAUAUAAUAAUUGAUAAUUAAAAUAAUAAUAAUAAUAGUUUUUAUAUUUUGUUAUCUCAAUAUUAUUGGUAAUAAUAUUAAUUUGUUUAAAUUUCUUCAUUUUAUUUCCUAAUUGAUUAAGGAUAAUUUUAGAUUUUUAUAAUAUAUGUGAGGAGUAUAUGUGGAAUUGUAAUAAGUGUGUAAAAUUGAUUUUCAUAAUUAGAUUUUGAAAAGUUACUAUUUUCUUACUUUUCAAAAUCCAUUGUGGAAUGAAAUGAUUUUGUCAAGAGUGUAUUUUCAAAAAAAUUUACCAUACAUCAAAAUUAACUUUUAUUUUAUAAAAUCACUUUUGACCUUCCUAAACGUAAUCCCAAAUGAGCCUUAAAUCAAAUAAUUUUGUUUUUUUAAUUGCUAUUUCAUAAAAAAUAUUAUUAAUUAAAUGUUAAUUCAUAUAAUUUAUUAACAAAAGAUUAUCAGCCAUUCGCCUAAAAAUUGCUUUGUUACAAAAGUUCAAAUUUGUUCAAUUUUCCACCGAUUGUUUACAAUGGGUAUCAAUUAUCCACCAAAUAGAAAGAAUUAUCCUUCCAAAAUAACUAUUGCAUUUACUUUUGUUGUUUAAUAAGAGUAAUUAUAGUUUUUUUAGUGAAUGGUUGAUAUAAAUUGUUUAUAUUAAGUGUAAAAUUAGAUAAAUUCAAAAUUUUGUAAUAUUUUUCAUAAUGGGGUGAACUUAGGCUGCUGAUAAUACUUUACAUUUAUGAAACAACAUAACUUCUACUAGGGGUGGGUAAGCGGUUCGGUUCUAUGAACAAAAACCGAAUGGUUUUAAAAUUAAGGAACCGAUUGGUUUUUGUUCGGUUCGGUUCAAAACCAAACCGAACCGAAAAAUCGAUUGGUUCGGUUUGAUUUAAUUAUAAAUAAUUUAUUUAAUUGAAAAUAUAUAAGCUAAAAACAAAUCACUCAAAUCUCAAAUCCCUAGCGUUUGGUUUUUGCAACCCAUCGCCUCCCUCUCCUCUCCCACUUCUCUCCCACGCCUCCCUCUGUUGCCUCCAACCUGUGCGUUCUCCCUCUCUACAUGGCGCAGAACUUCAGCUCAGCCCCUCUCGGCUUCUUCCUCGUGAGCGUCUCUCCCUCGCGUCAACUUAGCUCCUCUCUUCCUCGCGUGCACGGCUCCCUUGCACAGCUCUUCCCCUCAAGCACGGUGACGCCGUCGUUAGUUCAUAGGUUUGAUGCAUGUUUUUUUAUGACUUUGGUUUUGGCCUUAUUGUUAUAACGGGUAUUAUUGUUGGGUGUAAAUUAUAUAAUUAGUUGAAUAUGGGCUGACUUAGGCUGUGUAAAUAGAAUUAUUAGCAACUUUGUUGCCAAUAUUUUGAUAAAGAAACUAAGAGUUGUAAAUGGUAGAAAAAAGUUGCUUUCUUUUGUUGGGGCCGUGUCUAUUUAUUGAGUUAUUCAAUUGUUUGAAUAAUAGAAAGUGUUCUAAAUGUGAUAAGUUUUCCAUGUUGGACAAGUGGAACAUCAAGUCUACUUAAUUCUGAUUGUAAUUAAGUGUUCAAAGAUGAUAAUUAAUGUGGAAUAUUCCGAAAAGACUCUAAUUGAAGCAUAUUUAGUAACAUAAGACAUUAUUUGGAGUUAGUUUGGAAGGGAGUUUGUUGCGUUGUGGAGAAAGAAACAUCAGUUGAAGCAUAUAAGGAGACACUGGGAAGUUGAUAAAAUUAGGAACCUAAUUUUUUUCCACACCCCCUCCCCCCCUUCCG
rnacentral:lncRNA from 1 species